rnacentral:rRNA from 1 species
AUUGAACGCUGGCGGCAGGCCUAACACAUGCAAGUCGAGCGAGCGGCGGACGGGUGAGUAAUGUAUGGGGACUGCCCGAUAGAGGGGGAUAACUACUGGAAACGGUGGCUAAUACCGCAUACUAUCGGAUAACCCAUAUGGUCUUAGCUAGUAGGUGGGGUAAAGGCUCACCUCGGCGACGAUCUCUCGCUGUUCUGAGAGGAUGAUCAGCCACACUUGGACUGAGACACUGUCCAGAAUCCUCCGGAGGCAGCAGUGGGGAAUAUUGCACAAUGGGCGCAAGCCUGAUGCAGCCAUGCCGCGUGUAUGAAGAAGGCCUUAGGGUUGUAAAGUACUUUCAGCGGGGAGGCGUUAACAGAAGAAGAAGCACCGGCUAACUCCGUGCCAGCAGCCGCGGUAAUAG